GUCGUAACAAGGUUUCCGUAGGUGAACCUGCGGAAGGAUCAUUACCACACCUAAAGGGAUUGAGGGGAAGGGAUUCUUGGUGGGGAUGGGAUGGUGUCUUUAUUGAGAUCACCCCGUUGUCGCCUUGGUCUCUCUGCUCUCUCCUUUAACCAUCCACCCCUUUGUGAACAUGUGAUGUAUUUUCUUCUUGUUGUAGAAUCCUUUCCGACCUGUGAAGGGUAGUAGUGUUUGAGGUGUAUUCCUCUCUCUCUCUCUCUCUUUGCAAUGACGAACGGUCUACAGCAACCCAAACCAAACACCACUUUAAUGUAACCAAGAUGAUCUCUUCUGAAACCGAAAGUGUGUUGUGUUUGCCUCCUUCAAGGGGCCGCAAUGCCGUUUUUUGUAUAACAAAACUCAAAACAACUUUCAGCGAUGGAUAUCUUGGCUCUC
rnacentral:misc_RNA from 1 species